rnacentral:rRNA from 1 species
UACGGAGGGCGCGAGCGUUAAUCGGAAUUACUGGGCGUAAAGCGCGCGUAGGCUGUUGUGUAAGUUGGGGGUGAAAUCCCACGGCUCAACCGUGGAACAGCCCUUGAUACUGCGCGACUUGAAUCCGGGAGAGGGUGGCGGAACUCCAGGUGUAGGAGUGAAAUCCGUAGAUAUCUGGAGGAACAUCAGUGGCGAAGGCGGCCACCUGGACCGGUAUUGACGCUGAGGCGCGAAAGCGUGGGGAGCAAACAGG